UACGGGGGGAGCAAGCGUUGUUCGGAUUUACUGGGCGUAAAGGGCGCGUAGGCGGCCAGCACAAGUCAGUUGUGAAAUCUCCGAGCUUAACUCGGAACGGUCAACUGAUACUGUGCGGCUAGAGUGCAGAAGGGGCAACUGGAAUUCUUGGUGUAGCGGUGAAAUGCGCAGAUAUCAGGAGGAACACCGAUGGCGAAGGCAGCUCGCUGGGACGGUACUGACGCUGAGGCGCGAAAGCGUGGGGAGCGAACAGG
rnacentral:rRNA from 1 species